rnacentral:rRNA from 1 species
AUUGAACGCUGGCGGCAGGCCUAACACAUGCAAGUCGAACGGUAGCACAGAGAGCUUGCUCUCGGGUGACGAGUGGCGGACGGGUGAGUAAUGUCUGGGAAACUGCCUGAUGGAGGGGGAUAACUACUGGAAACGGUAGCUAAUACCGCAUAACGUCGCAAGACCAAAGAGGGGGACCUUCGGGCCUCUUGCCAUCAGAUGUGCCCAGAUGGGAUUAGCUAGUAGGUGGGGUAACGGCUCACCUAGGCGACGAUCCCUAGCUGGUCUGAGAGGAUGACCAGCCACACUGGAACUGAGACACGGUCCAGACUCCUACGGGAGGCAGCAGUGGGGAAUAUUGCACAAUGGGCGCAAGCCUGAUGCAGCCAUGCCGCGUGUAUGAAGAAGGCCUUCGGGUUGUAAAGUACUUUCAGCGGGGAGGAAGGUGUUGUGGUUAAUAACCACAGCAAUUGACGUUACCCGCAGAAGAAGCACCGGCUAACUCCGUGCCAGCAGCCGCGGUAAUACGGAGGGUGCAAGCGUUAAUCGGAAUUACUGGGCGUAAAGCGCACGCAGGCGGUCUGUCAAGUCGGAUGUGAAAUCCCCGGGCUCAACCUGGGAACUGCAUUCGAAACUGGCAGGCUAGAGUCUUGUAGAGGGGGGUAGAAUUCCAGGUGUAGCGGUGAAAUGCGUAGAGAUCUGGAGGAAUACCGGUGGCGAAGGCGGCCCCCUGGACAAAGACUGACGCUCAGGUGCGAAAGCGUGGGGAGCAAACAGGAUUAGAUACCCUGGUAGUCCACGCCGUAAACGAUGUCGACUUGGAGGUUGUGCCCUUGAGGCGUGGCUUCCGGAGCUAACGCGUUAAGUCGACCGCCUGGGGAGUACGGCCGCAAGGUUAAAACUCAAAUGAAUUGACGGGGGCCCGCACAAGCGGUGGAGCAUGUGGUUUAAUUCGAUGCAACGCGAAGAACCUUACCUACUCUUGACAUCCAGAGAACUUUCCAGAGAUGGAUUGGUGCCUUCGGGAACUCUGAGACAGGUGCUGCAUGGCUGUCGUCAGCUCGUGUUGUGAAAUGUUGGGUUAAGUCCCGCAACGAGCGCAACCCUUAUCCUUUGUUGCCAGCGGUCCGGCCGGGAACUCAAAGGAGACUGCCAGUGAUAAACUGGAGGAAGGUGGGGAUGACGUCAAUUCCUCAUGGUCCUUACCACUACGGCUACUCACAUGCUACAAUGGCGCAUACUAAUACACUCGAAUUCGCGAGAGCAAGCGGACCUCCUCAAGUGCUCCAUAGUCCGCAUUGAACUCAACAACUCGACUCCAUGAAGUCGGAAUCGCUAGUAAACGUAGACCAGAAUGCU